rnacentral:rRNA from 1 species
GAUGAACGCUGGCGGCGUGCCUAAUACAUGCAAGUAGAACGCUGAAGGAGGAGCUUGCUCUUCUGGAUGAGUUGCGAACGGGUGAGUAACGCGUAGGUAACCUGCCUGGUAGCGGGGGAUAACUAUUGGAAACGAUAGCUAAUACCGCAUGACAACAGUUAUUGCAUGAUAACUGUUUAAAAGGGGCAACUGCUCCACUACCAGAUGGACCUGCGUUGUAUUAGCUAGUUGGUGAGGUAACGGCUCACCAAGGCGACGAUACAUAGCCGACCUGAGAGGGUGAUCGGCCACACUGGGACUGAGACACGCCCCAGACUCCUACGGGAGGCAGCAGUAGGGAAUCUUCGGCAAUGGACGGAAGUCUGACCGAGCAACGCCGCGUGAGUGAAGAAGGUUUUCGGAUCGUAAAGCUCUGUUGUAAGAGAAGAACGAGUGUGAGAGUGGAAAGUUCACACUGUGACGGUAUCUUACCAGAAAGGGACGGCUAACUACGUG